rnacentral:rRNA from 1 species
AUUGAACGCUGGCGGCAGGCUUAACACAUGCAAGUCGAGCGGGGAAGGGUAGCUUGCUACCUGACCUAGCGGCGGACGGGUGAGUAAUGCUUAGGAAUCUGCCUAUUAGUGGGGGACAACAUUCCGAAAGGAAUGCUAAUACCGCAUACGCCCUACGGGGGAAAGCAGGGGAUCUUCGGACCUUGCGCUAACAGAUGAGCCUAAGUCAGAUUAGCUAGUUGGUGGGGUAAAGGCCUACCAAGGCGACGAUCUGUAGCGGGUCUGAGAGGAUGAUCCGCCACACUGGGACUGAGACACGGCCCAGACUCCUACGGGAGGCAGCAGUGGGGAAUAUUGGACAAUGGGCGAAAGCCUGAUCCAGCCAUGCCGCGUGUGUGAAGAAGGCCUUUUGGUUGUAAGGCACUUUAAGCGAGGAGGAGGCUACUUAGAUUAAUACUCUAGGAUAGUGGACGUUACUCGCAGAAUAAGCACCGGCUAACUCUGUGCCAGCCGCCGCAGUAACAC